UCAGAGAUGAUGGCGGAGGCAAGAGGACCUGUUAUUUCGUGUAGAUGCAGCAAAACCGAAGACUGUCAGGGUAUUUGCGCCGUGUGCCCCAACUAUAGCUGCAUUAAUAACCUUUGUACUUGCCUUUCAAACGCACCUCCAUUUCCAUAGUCUUAGAAUCUACACACUCCAACAGUUGAAUGAAAUGGUGGGAUUUUUUUGUGUAAUUUGAAAUAAAUUAUCAUGCAAUGGAUCUAAUAAGAAAAAAUAUUGUAAUUAUUGUAAUUUUAAUUUUCUUUUUACCCUUCUCUGCGCCUCCCCUCCCCCUUUCUAGUAACGAAAAGUAUGUUACAUUUCAAAUAUAUAAAAAGAGUUACAAUCUUGUUUUAAAACUAAAAGAAAUAACAGUAAGAACAAAAGAUAGGAGAAAAAUUAAGACACAAAAUGAGAUGAUAAUUCUUCUUUCUACUUGUAUCUCAUAAGCUUGUAUAUGGCUUCAAUCUAUAGGGCUUCAACAAUGAUAGGCUAAAAAUAAUAUAAAUAGGAAUUUCAAAACUCGCAAUAACUUGAAUGGGUAUUUCAUAAGUUUCAAAUUCCACCGUAUUCUUUUGGUGGGGACACUUUGUUAAUUUAUUAACAACACUAUGCACUAGAUGUGUAUCGAAUGGAAACGAGCUCUGUUAAAACUUUAUUAGAAAAAAUUGCAUAAGCACCUAUAAUAAGCUAAAACAUUAAAGACAUUUCAUGGGAAAACUUAGCUGGACAAUACCUUGGGUAAAGGAAAGAGUAAACAUGUUUUAGACUCCCCCUAAUUUUAAAAAUAUUGAAACAUGGUACAAAUUUUGAAACAAUUUUUUGUUGCUAACUACUUCGUCAAGGAGAAUCAUACUAUGAAGACAUGCCUUUUUAAUUACAAUGAUAACCAUUGAGUUUCAUUGUAUACUCUAGGUUCAUUUGCCAAUAACUCUUUUGCACAUCAUAAUAUAGGUGGGGGCGAAUAAAACUUUAAAUUAAGCGACAUUAAUACAUGCAUUAAAGCCUCCAUUAAUUUCUUAGAAGUUUAUUUUUAUGUCCACAAUCAACAUUUUUCUUAUGCGGACAUGAGACCUUGCUAUUGCAUAUGACUUAAGGAAAACUGUAUAUUAAAUUUAGCCUCGUGGCUUUGGAGAUUUCUACAUCCUAUCUCUCUUUCUUACUCCGUUUCAAGGAUGUUCAUGUAGACCACCUGAUAGAUAGUUGUAUGGUUUCUUUAUUCUUAUUGAAACACAUAUCGAGUCUUUCUUGACAUCACUGUGACUUUAAUAGUCAUUACCAAUAUGGUUUGACUCUUGCAGGUUUUGAGUACAUUGGCGUGUCAUUCGGCCCAAUUAAAGGCUAUUAUUGUUGUUUCAAUUUGAGAUCGCUCUCUUCUAGUUUUUCUUCUUCUUUUCUCAUUUUGGUUUCCUACCCUUUAUAUGCUUGUUGUAGUAUUUUUCCUUAAGUUAAUUUUGGAAAUACAUAGAAUCUAUUGAAUGGAGUGCCAUUAAUCUUAUCAACAUUAUAUCUCAUCAUCUUCUUGCUUGUUUUUAGGAUCUUCAUGGCCAUGGUUAGACAAGAGUUUAUCUAUCUUGUAACACUUAUUUUGGGACAUGCAAUGUGCACAUUUUCUAUAAGUCCUACACUUUUACCAGUUGUUUCAAUGAGGCCAUCUUUAGGUAUUUCCCCCUCUAUUUAUUUCAUUAGUCAAAUUGGAUGUACUUUUAUGAACUUAAAUCAAACAAUCACUUUUUGCGUUUUUGUAACCUCUCUUUUCAGGUCUGAUAACAUCGAUCAAGAAGUUGAGCUCCUCCAUGGAUAGCCUUGGUUGUUUGUUUCCAUUUAUUCACAAUCUCUUGCAACAAAUUUUGACAUUUUAACUGUAGUGAUAGUUUUAUUAGCCUUGUAGCGAGCCCAAGAUACCAACUGCUCCCACCCAUGAUUUUGAAUUUUAAAUACUUUAUUUAAAUGAUUUUGAUGUUUAGAAAUUUAAAAAAUAAACUAAUUUUCUUUUAGGUGAGAAUUAACCCAAAAUUGGUAUUGCCUAUCCAUGAACCUCUUACCUCAAGUUGGUCUGGACUGUGAGGUCGAAAGAUAAGUAGUUGUUGCCAACUCAUUAGUUUAGUGGAAGAUCGAGAGAUCCUACUAGGUUAGCGACUAAUUGAUUGAGUAGAACCAAAAAUAGGAUUUAGUUAUGACCACUGAAGCGAGCUAAUCACUCAUGCUUAGAUUUUAUUGAAUCACAUAUUACUUCUCCAUCUUUUUUAUUUUAUGCAAGCUUAUUUCUUUUCUUAUAAAAACAACUAUUUUUCACUUUAUGAUCAUCGUACUAUAAUUUAUUUAAGUUACUAAUUAGAUCUAUUUGCGUUUAGGUUAAUAUUAAUUUAGUACUUGUCUCCCUUGGGUACGAUCCUCGAGUACUCACCUACUUCGUUGUAAAACUAUAUUACAGCCUGACUCGUAUACUUGAGGACACCGCCUCAAUUCAAUAUAUACUUUUAGCAAUAUUCACACUCUGGAUUCUAGUACGUCCGAAGGCGGUCACUUUCCAAAGUGGCGCGUAGUUUAUCUGCAAAUCAGUGGUGGCUCGUCUACAAUCCGGAGUGAUAUGUUAGACGAGUUCUGGGGAAUUCAUACGUGAGGUGUGUAGCGGAGUUGGGUAGGACUUUUCUGUUAAUUUGAAACUUCAAUGCAUUCAUAAGCACGUGCAUAUAAAAUUGUGAAUACCAAUAUAGUGAAGUGAAGCGUUUUAUGUGAAAAACAGUUAAUCUGAGGUGCUUUGUGGUUGUCUUUAAUCUCAAGAUUGCUAAUUCAUGUGCCUUAUUGGUUUGUUGUUUUAUUUUGAUUUUCUUGUGACUGAACUCACAUUGAGCUUCAUAGCUCACUGCCCUUUAGUUCCCAUCCUUAUAGAUAACCCACCAGGUUGGGAUGCGACAUAUGGAGGGUCGAAAAAGUUUUAAUGUUAUGAAAGUGUUGUUAUGCUUAUUUUAAAAUUUAUGAUAUUUCGGAACUGUACUGUAUUGUUUAUUUUCUAGCAUUGGAUUCAUAUUUAGGUUUUGGUUUUAUAUUGCAAGCAUGACAUAUAAAUUGUUGUUUUUAAGAUGAUGAAAUAAGGAUUUCAAUUAAAUAUGCAUGAAAUAUAGAUGUUAGUAAAACUCAUGAAAAGCCAUUUUUCCGCUGAAAGGUCAUAAUAAAAUUUUAUCUAAUAACUACAAUAUAACUAUGUUUCCAAUAGUUAUCACAUUUUACAAGAAAAAUAUUAGUUUAAUUGUAUUUUAUAUACCCAUGAUUUGUUUUCUAAAAAUAGACACAGUCUUUGUAAGGAUAAAAAAAUAUUUUAAUGUGACUAUUUAAAAUCUUCGAUUGCACUAGGCCAUCACGGUGGCCGAUGUAAUCUCCCGAACUCGGGCCUACCGUCUAGGCCAAUUUGGGGAGGUUACAAUUUCAAUGCCAUAAAGUACUAAAACCAUAUUUUCAAUCAUCUUCAGCAUAGAUUAUUUCAUGUUGAUAUGAGUUGAAUUAAAAUAUUUAAUUUGAACUUAUAAAUUUGUCAUAUUUAAGGGGAAAAAAAGUGGUUUUUACUUCAAACAAAAAGAAGAGAUAAAUUGUUACCAACUAAAUUGAUGAACAAGAAUUUGAUAUGAUAUAUACGUGAAUACAAUAAAAAUACAUUAAUUGCGCUACAAUUGUGUAUAAUAUCCUUUUUAUUUAGUUAUAUUGUGUUUGUACAAAAUUUGUAAAGAUAAAAUACUAUGCAUCAAAUAUGUUCAAUUCUAAUUCUAAUUCUAAUUCUAAUUCUAAUUCUAAUUCCAGUUCCAAUUUGAGUUUGAACUUGAUUUGGAACACAAAAAUUGAGCAUGAUGCCAAGUAUGAGAAUCCAACUCAAGUCUUAUCAAAUAAACAAGCCUAAAUAAAUCUAGUAAAGCUAAUUAAAGCAGUUUAAUCUUUAUCUCGUAUCAAGUUUAUAUUUUAAAAGUUAAACUCAAUGAAGUUAUAUUGGAGCAUUCAAUUCUCUAGGUUUCUUUGGAGAUUGAGAUUGAAUUUCUUGGCUCAGUUCAACCCCAUUAAAUAACUUUAAAUUUUUUAUUUUGAUACAAUAGUUAAUAUUGUUUCCAAACUCAUAUAACUGGUUGUGUAGGAAGGGGUCAGGUUUUUUUGUGUGCUUUCUCUCACUACUAUCUCCAAAAUUUUAAUGCUUUUAGUAUUUUAAUAUUUGAAAAUUAUUAAAAAAUUUGUCUAGCAAGAAAAAUAUAAUUUAAUCUUUUCUUCUCCUAGACCACAAAUAAAAAAAAUUGGAACAUAUUUCCCAUUUGUUUUUAAACGGUUGGACUAAUAAUCAACUUAUUGGCAUCAUGCAUUCCAGAUUUGGUAACAUUAAUUUCCAUGACUACACUUAGAACAAAAUAAUGAUAAUUAGUAAACAAAAUCCACAUCAAUCUUCUCAAGGAUGUUUUGCUGAUAUACUUUCCUUUUAGACAUAGUUUCAUAAGGAAAAAAAUAAAAACGUAAUAAUCUCAAAGAAUCCAAAGAAAUUAGUAUUCCUCCAUGCAACACAAAAUAAGAUACUAUAUAUAUUAAAUCCAUAAGCUAUAAAUUUCCACCAACAUAGUUAAUUAGAUAUAAAGAGAUGGCAAAGUUUUCAUUCAAUUUGUUUAUAUUUGCUGUCAUCUUAAUCUUUGCAACUCGUUAGUUUCUUCCUAUGCAGCUCUUUUAUUUCCUUUGGUAUAAAUAUUAUGUUUUUGUUUAAUUUAACACAAGGGAAUUUUUGCUGCAGACUCAGAGAUGAUGGCGGAGGCAAGAGGACCUGUUAUUUCGUGUAGAUGCAGCAAAACCGAAGACUGUCAGGGUAUUUGCGCCGUGUGCCCCAACUAUAGCUGCAUUAAUAACCUUUGUACUUGCCUUUCAAACGCACCUCCAUUUCCAUAGUCUUAGAAUCUACACACUCCAACAGUUGAAUGAAAUGGUGGGAUUUUUUUGUGUAAUUUGAAAUAAAUUAUCAUGCAAUGGAUCUAAUAAGAAAAAAUAUUGUAAUUAUUGUAAUUUUAAUUUUCUUUUUACCCUUCUCUGCGCCUCCCCUCCCCCUUUCUAGUAGCGAAAAGUAUGUUACAUUUCAAAUAUAUAAAAAGAGUUACAAUCUUGUUUUAAAACUAAA
rnacentral:lncRNA from 1 species